GCUUCCCCUAUAUCUGCACUCCCUCUGCUGCAGGCCUGAGCUCUCCUUGCCCCUGGCUCUCUUCUGCAGAGGGCCUGCUCUCAGCUGCCACAAGAGGGCGCCGGAGAACGGACCUGAGCAGAGAGGCAGGAGCUCCUCUGCAGGUCCUCCCAGGCACCAACCCUUCCGGGAGGGAGGAAGGCUUGGGAGUCCUCUUAGACAGAUCCUCAGUCACUUCUCUCUGUUUGUGUCUCAGGAAGACCAGCUCCUCCUACUGUCUUCUGUGCUAGGGAUCACUUCCUUGUUGAGUGGGGCCUGAGUUUUAAGAGGAUCUUCUGCUCCUCUUCAUCUGGUCCCUUUCCUUCCAAGGCCCCAGAGAGGAAGGCAUGCAGUGGGCCCUAGCGGUGCUUCUAGCUUUCCUGUUUCCUGCCAGUCAGAAAUCUUCCAACUUGGAAGGCAGAACGAAGUCAGUCAUCAGGCAGACUGGGUCAUCUGCUGAAAUCACUUGUGAUCUUGAUGGAGGAAGUACCGGCUACAUCCACUGGUACCUACACCAGGAGGGGAAGGCCCCACAGCGCCUUCAGUACUAUGACCCCUACAACUCCAAGGUUGUGUUGGAAUCAGGAGUCAGUCCAGGGAAGUAUUAUACUUACGCAAGCACAAGGAAGAACUUGAGAAUGAUACUGCGAAAUCUAAUUGAAAAUGACUCUGGGGUCUAUUACUGUGCCACCUGGGACGGGCACAGUGAUUCAGAUCCGCCCUACACCACACUGAAAAUCUGCCUUGUGGCUGCUUCUGGUACACAAGAUAGAGCCGCCCCCUCUCAUUUCCUGCCACCAAAUUUACCGUGUGCUGAAUAAGAGAAACAUUGCUUAACUCCUGAUCUCCCCUGCAAUAUUACACUCCCCUGGCAGCAGCUGCACCCUGUUCCCCACCCUCUCCCAGGACUUUCCUGAAGACCAAGCUGCCAUCUCAGCUAAGCCUCAGCGAAGCAGCCUGGCUGAGAUCAAGGUUCUCUUAGCUCUCCUAGGACAUGGGGGAGGCCCACUCACCCUGCUUCCUAGGACAAACGGGUACCCCUAGGGUCCAGCUGUGAAGCAAGAUAUUUUGGACAACAAAUGGGAAGGGUAUUUAUACUAAAUUGUGUAUCCCAUCAUGAUCCAGAAACCGCAGCUGAGACUGGUGCUUAUUCCUUAUAUCUAUAACAAUAUAAGCAAUACUAUAAUGACCACUGAAACACCAGGCCUGGGUAUGCAGUUGAACAUUCUCUCCCUCUGCCCUCCCUUUUAUUCUCUCUCUUUUUUUCCUAAUUCUUUGCUUGCUUUUAUUAUUUUUCUCUCUCUCCCUUCCUCCCUCCCUCCAUCCGUCCCUCCCUCCUUCCCUCCCUCUCUCCCUCUCUCCUUCCCUCCCUUCCUCUCUCCCUCUCUCCUUCCCUCCCUUCCUCUCUUCUUUCCUUCCAUCCAUUCUCCUUCAUUUUCCUUCCUUCCUUCUUUGCUUUUCUCUUGCUUUCCUUUUUGGGUACAUAAUCAGAAUACUUUUUCCACAAAAUCACUUGAAAUAAUUUUUCUCUAUGUGUUCAUGUCAACAUUGAUAUAGCUACUGUAAUUGUUCAGUUUUCUUUUUUACAUUUUGGAAAUUUGUUGUAUUACUUUGUUUUGUUUCAUAUCUGUUUUGUAUAUAUAAAACGUUUACAUGAAACUAAAGUCAAAAUUAUAAAAGAUGAUGCAUUUGAAGAUUUU